AAAUAAUAAAAUUUAUUAAAUUCUUUAAAUAAAAUCAAUACAUUUUCUCUAUUCUCACUGUUUCACGAAUCACGCCCAAAGUCGUCGCCGUUGCCGCCAUAGCCAUGUUUAUCAGCGAAAUCACUUGUAUUCCUUCCGCUUUAAUCCCGCCAUAUCAUCACCAUUAUUAUUUCCUCCUCCAACCUCCACAAAAACAACAAUCUAAUUAAGCCAUCAGAUCAGAUCUAAUCGAGCACCAUCACCAUUUUCGCCUUCAUCUCUCCGCCGCACACCAUUACCAUCUUUGUCACCAUGAUUAGAU
rnacentral:misc_RNA from 1 species